rnacentral:rRNA from 1 species
AUUGAACGCUGGCGGCAGGCCUAACACAUGCAAGUCGAGCGGAGAGGAGGACGGGUGAGUAAUGCCUAGGAAUCUGCCUGGUAGUGGGGGAUAACGUCAGGAACCGGGAGCUAAUACCGAAUACUAUCAGAUGAGCCUCGGUCGGAGUAGCUAGUUGGUGGGGUAAAGGCCUACCCAGGCGACGAUCCGUCACUGUUCUUAGAGGAUGAUCAGUCACACGGGAACGGAGACACGGUCCAGACUCCUACGGGAGGCAGCAGUGGGGAAUAUUGGACAAUGGGCGAAAGCCUGAUCCAGCCAUGCCGCGUGUGGGAAGAAGGUCUUCGGAUUGUAAAGCACUUUAAGUUGGGAGGCGUUACCAACAGAAUAAGCACCGGCUAACUUCGUGCCAGCAGCCGCGGUAAUAC